rnacentral:rRNA from 1 species
CCUAUACUAUUCGCCCGGGUACUACGAGCAUAAGCUUGAAACCCAAAGGACUUGGCGGUGCUUAAGACCCACCUAGAGGAGCCUGUUCUAGAACCGAUAAUCCCCGUUAAACCUCACCCUUCCUUGUUUAGUCCGCCUAUAUACCGCCGUCGUCAGCCUACCCUCUGAAGGUUUCAUCGUAGGCAAAAUCAGUAAAACUCCUCACGUCAGGUCGAGGUGUAGUGAAUGGAAGGGGAAGAAAUGGGCUACAUUCCUUAAUUGUAAGGUAUACGAAAAAUGUAAUGAAACGUACAUUGGAAGGAGGAUUUAGCAGUAAGCGGAAAAUAGAGUGUUCCACUGAAGCUGGCCCUAAAGCACGCACAC